GAUGAACGCUGGCGGCGUGCCUAAUACAUGCAAGUCGAGCGAACGGACGAGAAGCUUGCUUCUCUGAUGUUAGCGGCGGACGGGUGAGUAACACGUGGAUAACCUACCUAUAAGACUGGGAUAACUUCGGGAAACCGGAGCUAAUACCGGAUAAUAUUUUGAACCGCAUGAUUCAAAAGUGAAAGACGGUCUUGCUGUCACUUAUAGAUGGAUCCGCGCUGCAUUAGCUAGUUGGUAAGGUAACGGCUUACCAAGGCAACGAUGCAUAGCCGACCUGAGAGGGUGAUCGGCCACCCUGGAACGGAGACACGGUCCAGACUCCUACGGGAGGCAGCAGUAGGGAAUCUUCCGCAAUGGGCGAAAGCCUGACGGAGCAACGCCGCGUGAGUGAUGAAGGUCUUCGGAUCGUAAAACUCUGUUAUUAGGGAAGAACAUAUGUGUAAGUAACUGUGCACAUCUUGACGGUACCUAAUCAGAAAGCCACGGCUAACUACGUG
rnacentral:rRNA from 1 species